rnacentral:rRNA from 1 species
GACGAACGCUGGCGGCGUGCUUAACACAUGCAAGUCGAACGGAAAGGCCCUGCUUGCAGGGUACUCGAGUGGCGAACGGGUGAGUAACACGUGGGUGAUCUGCCCUGCACUUCGGGAUAAGCUUGGGAAACUGGGUCUAAUACCGGAUAGGAACCAUCUUUAGUGUGGUGGUUGGAAAGUUUUUUCGGUGUAGGAUGAGCUCGCGGCCUAUCAGCUUGUUGGUGGGGUAAUGGCCUACCAAGGCGGCGACGGGUAGCCGGCCUGAGAGGGUGUACGGCCACAUUGGGACUGAGAUACGGCCCAGACUCCUACGGUAGGCAGCAGUGGGGAAUAUUGCACAAUGGGCGCAAGCCUGAUGCAGCGACGCCGCGUGGGGGAUGAAGGCCUUCGGGUUGUAAACUCCUUUCGCUAGGGACGAAGCUUUUUGUGACGGUACCUAGAUAAGAAGCACCGGCUAACUACGUG